UCCCAACCCGUCAAAAUCUAAAGCCCCCUCUUCACUUCAUCUUUCUCUCGCUCUCUCUGACCGCGAACCCUCUCUCUCGCUCUCUCAUCCAAAUCCCUUUUCCUCUUCGUUUUCAGACUUAACGUCCGCACUUCUCUCUCUUUCUCUCAUCUCAGCCUCCUCCUCUCAUGUAGGGCGUCAAGGAUCUGGCCAAAAUGACGUUGUUCAUGAAUGAGAGCUAUGCAGACCGAAGGCUUCCUCACCAUCGCAACCCCAAAGAGUUUGUUCCAUUGGACCAUUUGGCAGAUCUUUGGGUGAUGGAGAAUCUGGGUCAAAGUUUUCGAGCCCGGUCACUGAAUCUAAUAGCCAGGAUGCAUCACUCAUUGCUUUCAGUUCCUACCCUCAAUGCUCCGUUGCUCAUGCGACACUACUUCUCUGCCCCUAGUUUCCUUGUCUCUAACUUUCCCAGCAACCAGGAAUUGGUGGAGCCGGUGACGCCAGACUAUGAUGAGGAGAGAGUCGAACAAUGUUGACGGGUCAUGGCGGUUGAACUUCGACGGUUUCCAGGUGUCCUCAGAGAGCACAAGGAGAAAAGACUUCCCCGUGGCCUCCAUGACUGCCUGGGGGAUUUAGGAGAAGCUGCGUAAUAGUUGAAGCUGCCAUUAUGGUUUUUGUUGUAAAAAUUUCAAGGAAGUCAGUAUGGGUUUUCCUCAAAAUUUGGCCACUUGCCGAUCGAAUUGGACUUUGAGUCAAGGUAUAAACUUGCUCCCCUUGUUGUGCUUGUUGAUACAUAUGGAUUCUGUGAUUAAGUUUUUUUUACAGAUGCUAAUGCAAUUACCAAAAUCCUGUUUGGCAAUUGUCUUUGAUACAAUUACAUGUAUUUUUUAUUUUGUUCCACAUGCAGUGCAUUCCAUUGAUGCAAUUAGAUGUCACAUAUUCAAUUACCUACUUCAUGUCUACCAAUUGGAUAUUUGUAAAUCCAAUUGUGUUCCAAGUUUGCAUAAUAUGCAUAAUUUUGUUUUUAUCUUCCAUUAA